GUGGGGAAUAUUGCUCAAUGGGCGAAAGCCUGAAGCAGCAACGCCGCGUGGGGGAUGAAGGUUCUCGGAUUGUAAACCCCUUUCGAUCGGAACGAAUCCCCUCCCGGUAAAUAAUCGGGAGGAUUGACGGUACCGAGAGAAGAAGCCACGGCUAACUCUGUGCCAGCAGCCGCGGUAAGACAGAGGUGGCGAGCGUUGUUCGGAUUUAUUGGGCGUAAAGCGCACGCAGGCGGUUUGGUAAGUCAGGGGUGAAAUCCCGCAGCUUAACUGCGGUACUGCCUUUGAUACUGCCUUUCUUGAGUGCAUGAGGGGGAAGCGGAAUUCCGAGUGUAGAGGUGAAAUUCGUAGAUAUUCGGAGGAACACCGGUGGCGAAGGCGGCUUCCUGGCAUGUAACUGACGCUCAUGUGCGAAAGCGUGGGGAGCAAACAGGAUUAGAAACCCCUGUAGUCC
rnacentral:rRNA from 1 species